rnacentral:rRNA from 1 species
AGCGAACGCUGGCGGCAGGCUUAACACAUGCAAGUCGAGCGGGCGUAGCAAUACGUCAGCGGCAGACGGGUGAGUAACGCGUGGGAACGUACCUUUUGGUUCGGAACAACACAGGGAAACUUGUGCUAAUACCGGAUAAGCCCUUACGGGGAAAGAUUUAUCGCCGAAAGAUCGGCCCGCGUCUGAUUAGCUAGUUGGUGAGGUAAUGGCUCACCAAGGCGACGAUCAGUAGCUGGUCUGAGAGGAUGAUCAGCCACAUUGGGACUGAGACACGGCCCAAACUCCUACGGGAGGCAGCAGUGGGGAAUAUUGGACAAUGGGCGCAAGCCUGAUCCAGCCAUGCCGCGUGAGUGAUGAAGGCCCUAGGGUUGUAAAGCUCUUUUGUGCGGGAAGAUAAUGACGGUACCGCAAGAAUAAGCCCCGGCUAACUUCGUGCCAGCCGCCGCCGUAA